UGGCACGAAUUACCUAUUAACUUAUCCCCCGGGGGAUUGACGGCACCAGAUAAAAAAUCAAAGGAUAUGACCGUGCCACCAGCCGCGGUAAUACGGAGGGUGCAAGCGUUGUUCGAAAUUAUUGGGCGUAAAGGGCGCGUAGGCGGUUUGGUAAGUCAGAUGUGAAAGCCCAGGGCUCAACCCUGGACGUGCAUUUGAAACUGGAAGACUUGAGUAUGGGAGGGGAUGGUGGAAUUCCUGGUGUAGAGGUGAAAUUCGUAGAUAUCAGGAGGAACACCGAUGGCGAAGGCAACUACCUGGACCAAUACUGACGCUGAGGCGCGAAAGCGUGGGUAGCAAACAGGAUUAGAUACCCUGGUAGUCCACGCCGUAAACGAUGAACACUCGGUGUAGGGAAUAUUAAUCUCUGCUGUGCCCAAGCUAACGCAUUAAGUGUUCCGCCUGGGGAGUACGGUCGCAAGAUUAAAACUCAAA
rnacentral:rRNA from 1 species